AAUCAAAGAGUUCGAGAUUCGUUUGAUUUUUCUUGUUACAAGUAUGCAUCAGUUUGGUUUACUCGGUUUGGAAUCUGUCUCUGGUUUCAGGGCAUGGAGGGGGAGGAGGAGGAGGAGGAGAGCUAGCGAGCCGGGGGAAGGCGGCGGCGCGGGCAUGGCCGUGCUGCGACAACUGCGGCGGGUGCACCAAGUCGAUCCCGCCGCUGUGCCAGUGCCUGGACGCGGUGCCCCGCGGGUGCCACCCUGCCUGCCAGGACUGCAUCAAGUCCAGCCUCAGCGCCGAUCCGCCGGUGUACCAGUGCAUGGACCGCGUCCCCAACUUCUGCGACCGCCGCUGCACCGCCGCCGCCGCCCACUGACCGGCCGGCUGAGCGAACGACUGAUUGCUGUGGAUUAUAGAUUUUUGUGUGUAGAGAGAGAGAGAGACGAGGAAUCUGUUCGUCUGAUGAGCAACCAACCAAACCAAUCUUGGGAUUUUUUUUCUCCUUUUGUUUUUUUGUCUUUUGUCUUGACACUGCUCUUUGCCGGCUACUACUGCUUGGUUGACUGUUCUUGGUUGCGACUUGCGAGGAGAUAAGCACGGUGAAUCACCGGAAUUUGGAAAAAAAAAUUGCUUUCCUUGCUGGUUUUUUAGCUUGGUCACGCCGACCCUGCCUCGGAUAAUUGAGGUCCACGCCACACGAGCUUGGCCGAUUUUUCGUCUGGACAUUUUUGGGAACACAGAUGCUGCCUCAGUGCCUCUCUGUCAGGGAUGCAGGAUGAUGGACCUGGACGCUAAUCCGGUCUCCGGCGCGACGCGAGGCCGAGGACGAGUUCCAGGGUCAGAUUCACCCUCCAAAACGACAGGGGUGUUCUCACUGAUCCGAUGACAACAGGCACUGCAAGUGGAGACUCCUACCCCGCACUCGCACUCGCACUCGCAGAUGCGCAUUUUCCGCGAGGAUAUGCGGCAAACAUGCAGCGUCUGAAUUUGGAGCCUAGUUUCUUUCAAAAAAAAUAAAGAAUUUGGAGCCGAGGUGGGGAUAAAGGCAGGGAAUAUGUCAUCCAAGGAAGAAACUAGCUGCGGUGUAUCUGCAUACGUGUUCUUGGUCGAGAAAACUAUGCUGCUACUUGCAACGUGGUAGCAUUGGACACUACAAAUUCAUGAAAAAUCAACAAACUGGUGGAAUUUUCUUUUUUCCAGAGUAGCACGAAAAUCAACAAACGUUCUCUUUUGAAGUCAGGAGAAGGAUUCACUAGUGCACAGCUCUGGUGGAGUUUUCUUUUUUCCAGAGUAGCACGAAAAUCAACAAACGUUCUCUUUUUGAAGUCAGGAGAAGGAUUCACUAGUGCACAGCUCUAAUUUUUUUUGAGGAAAUUGCAGAGCUCUAACAAAGUUUAGAUUAGUACGGAGCUCUAUUUUUUUAGGAAAUUGCAGAGCUCCAAUAAAGUUUAGAUUAGUACAUAGCUCUAUUUUUUUUAGGAAAUUGCAGAGCUCUAAUAAAGUUUAGAUUGAGCAACUCCAAGAGUCUAAAAAAAAUCUCCUCCAAAACUAUCUAUUGGGGACUCUACUAAAAAUUUAUUCUCUUAAAAUCAUGUCAUCCCACAAUAAUAAACUUCCCAAUACUUCAAAACUGACCACGUCAGCACCAAGUAGCUUCAAAAUGCGCCGCCCAUGCUCCGGCCGUGCCGCGUCGGCGGCGGCCUCCGCUCGCUGCUGCUUCUGCUCCUCUUCACCGUGCUCCUCUCCGUCGCCACCUUCUCCCUCCACUCCCCCGACCCCCUCGUCGUCAUCGACGCGCCGCCGUGGAAGCCACAGCUAAUUCGCCCAGUACGGCGGGCCAAUCGUGGCCCUACCCGCAGCAACAUCGGGGCGCACUCCGGUCUCAGCAGCAGUAGACCGGGCACGUACCACCCGCCCGGUCCCACCCAUCGAUGCCGCACCCCGCGUGGAAGAAGUGCGGGCACGGUAGCACCCGCAUGAGCUCGUCGCCCCCGGCGGUGUAGUCGAACAGCCAGAUGUCGCAGCGCUUGCCCGCAUUCCCGCCGCCACCUUCACCUGGGCGUACGUCACGAGCGUGUUGGCACCGAGCGCGCGCUCGCUGUCGUCGUGCACCGCGCCGCCGGUAGGCUCGUAGGCGCACGAGGAGGCGGCGGCGGAUCGGAGACGCUCUUCCACUGGAAGAGCAUCCGUUGGGCAGUGCGUCCAUUGGGCAGCAACCGCGAGCGUUUCAGAGCUCUUAUACUACCUGGAGGCGCCACCGCAGCGUCUUGGAGUGAACGCCACUGCGCCGUCGAUGGAAGGGAGGCGGAGGAAUUGAUGGAGACUACGAAGGACCGGAUCGAACCCGCGCGCCGGCGAAGUCCAGUGGCGUCUCGUGGCCGCAACAACUUUUGAAGUACCACACCGUUAUGUCCUCCACCACUACCUCGAGCACGCACCGCCACUCCCCCGACGGUGUCCAUCACCCACACACGUGCACUCCCUUGACGCCGUCAUGCGGCAGAGAGCAAUUGGGCUGCUUGUCACGGAUGUUGAAGCCACAUUGCCGGAGCCGCCCGCUAGUGGACCUGAGGGACCGCACCAUGCGCUCCACGGACCCCUCCGCGAUGGGCGGCUCACAGAGCACUGUGGCGUGACCGCACCGCCGGCUCAGCCAGUAGAAGCACGUGUCGACAUGGAUCCCAGGGGACGCGGUGUUGAGGCAUCGAGACAUGCCCUGGGCGCCGAGCGUGGUCGUGGCUCAUCUCCCGGUCGCGGAGGUGAAAAACGCCACGAGGACGCGCCGGAAGCGGGUGCGGGUGAGGAUCAUGACGGUAAAGGAGACUACGAAACAGUACUAGAGCGAUCCGAGAAAAACGAUUCGAGGUGAUUGUGGAAGAACCAGUAUGCGGGGCGAUGGAGGUGCUUUUAGCGUCCAUGCAUUUUUACGUGGAGGAUGCAGGGUUGUUGGAGGUAAUUUUUUUUUGUUUUUCUCCAAAAUAAGAUUCUGGGGUAAUUUUGAAGGAGCUCCUGUAGUUGCUCUAAGUAUCAACAAGCACAAACCAGAGAACAGGCUUGUUGGGCCUGUUAUCCGAGCGGUUCUCAUAGAAGCAAUGGCCCAAAACAAGAAAAGGCCCAAAGAGGCCCAGGAGUUCUCGGCGGCAGAGCGGAGAAUCGUUCGGUUCUGUCUGCGAGUUCUUUAGUACCACCUCGGCUGCUGAAUGCGGACGCGCCGCAAGCUCCCGCUAUAAGAUGAGCGCCCCGUGCCCCGUUGCUCCAUACUUACCUGGACGGGGUCGACGGGCGAUCAAGAAGGCCCGUGGCCUAGGUCAGUGGCCCGCAUUGCACUUGGCGGGUGCGCUGGCUUACCAUCUCCCCAAGUGGGAGAGUGGACGUCAUAAUUUGUGGUAGAGGGGGUACGCGUUCGCGCGGCCCCCACCAAUUCUAACAAAUCAAAAUGUUGUCCUUAGCCCUCUGGGCUGUCUCUAGAAACAGGGGCGUUGCUGCAAUUUGUGGUAGAGGGAGUAUUUUACUCGUAUUAAAAAAAUAUUAGCAGUUUCUAGUUGUAUGGUUUGAUCUGAAUGGUUGAAAGAAAUAAAGUUGCGUUAUUUUAUUAGCACGUGCAAAGCCACGCGGCCAAGCUGACCCAGCCAUGGCGACCCAUGGCCUUCUCCCCUCGUCACUCUUCGCAUCCACCACCGCCAUUCGCGCCAUCGCAGCGCCAACCCGCACCUGCCACCGCGUACUCUCCUACGGCACCCGCCGCCGCCGCCCCCUGGCCUUCGGCCGCCGCGCGCCGGCGAUGGACGCCCUCCGCGUGACGGGAGCCGCGGAGCCGCUCCUCCGCCCCUCCGUCGGGGGACACCCCAGGCUCCGCGUAUGCCGCUCGACUUAACCCCCAAUCGGCGGCUAAACAUAGCCGUUGCGCGCCCCCUGCUAUUCUGGGGAGGAAGGCGGGGUCUGGUUGGCGGUGAAGGUCUGACGACAUGGAGGUCGAUGUGCAGGUGCGGACCCAUGCGCAGGGCGAGGGCGAUGCCGGGCGUGGCGCCGCCGCGGAGGGGGACGCGGCCUUCUCGUGGGCACCCGUCAUACUCCCGUAAGCUAUCUGUCAGCCACCUCUCGAAUUUUAGCAUUUGGAGAUUAUCUGGAGUGCGGGGUAGGUGUUGAAAUCAGAAAGGAUGCAUUUAUGGUCUGAUUCGACCUUGCACACGUUCUGAUUGAAGCAACCGAUUAAACUGUGAUCCUUCACUGCAUAGACAGUUUAAACUGUGAUGCUUCAACAUGGAGCAGUCAUAGAAUGUAUGAUGAUGCAGAGUAAUCUAGGAUCUGUUUAAUAUUUCUGUACAGACUGAUGCUUGCCAUAGCAAUGCUUCUUGGUGUAGAGUUUCGAGAAUAAACAAAUAAAAUGGGGUAAUCAGGAAGCCUAUCCAGAUUGCAGCCUUGCAGUACUGAUAGAUCACUGUUCGGAACCUAGGUUCUUGUUCCCUGCAUUGGGCGGUCUCCUUUUCGGCUAUGACAUUGGCGCAACCUCUGGAGCAACAAUCUCUGUACAAGUUAGUCCCCGUUUUGGUUUUUUCUGGAAUUUCCUCUAGCUGACAUACAGUCUCACUGCCACUGGGUGUAUUCUUCUUCAGUCUGCUGAUCUCAGUGGCACCACUUGGUUCAACCUGUCAUCUGUGCAACUAGGCCUUGUGGUAAUCCAAAUUUCUGUGAUUCCUAAGCUUUUGUAUCUCCCUUUUCAUAUCAAUUAUCAAGAUCCAAAUGAGUUUCCUUUUCCUUUUAUUCAGGCAAGUGGUUCACUUUAUGGAGCUCUUGGUGGCUCUAUUCUCGCAUACCGCAUUGCAGAUUUUCUAGGUGAACUGAAAAGCUAAACCAAUUUAAUUGUCCUUACCAUACUUGUUUGAUAAGGGGGUGAAUAACUUCUACCAUCUUGAUACAGGAAGGAGAAUAGAGUUGGUCACCGCAGCUGCAUUAUAUAUUCUUGGUGCUUUGGUCACUGGAUUUGCCCCUAAUUUUGUAGGUCUAAUCAUAGGCCGUAUCCUUUAUGGGAUUGGUAUUGGUUUGGUGAGUACCUGCAGGCACAAAUCUUCUUCCUCCCUAAGAUGAUCCCAGGUUACUGUUAUUAAAAAAAAUCUAAUUUACGAAUGCGUAUAAAAGUGAUUUUCUGGGGAUGAUAAGUACAUUCACUCAAGCUGAGUAACCUGACAAAAUUGUUAUAAACUUAUAAUGUCAUGAUGCCUCAUUAUAGUUUUCUGAUAUGCUAAUCAUUUACUGAAGUGUGAAGUAGCAAAACUAAUUGAUGUCACUGUAGCUUGAUGGUCAUGUUCUGAUAUAACUAAUUAUGGAAUAAGUAGAUAUAAAACAUUCCUGCACUUGAUUAUUCUGAUUCCUAUGAUGGGGUAGAACAUAUUCACUGGUACACCGCAAAAUCAAGCUGGUUGUAUUGCUAAGAUAUUUAAUAUAAUUUUCUUCUUUAAUUUCUGGGGUGGUUACAUUGCGUGUAGCACUUUACCCUAGCCUUUUUGACACCAACUUUCAACAUCCAUAAGCAUCAAAAUUUCCAUGGUUCCAUGCUUUCUUAAAAUGGGAUUCGUAGCAAUUGAAGAGAAUUACAGUUGCAAAGGAGCAUAUGAAUAUUUAGCUAGGGGUUUGGGAGAGUUUAUAGACCAAUGCUGUCCUAAAACAUUUGGUGUUAUGCCACUGAACCAUUAUGGUGCUAUGUGCCAGGCAAUGCAUGGUGCCCCACUUUAUAUUGCAGAGACUUCUCCUCCGCAAAUACGUGGAACAUUGAUAUCUUUGAAGGAGCUGUUUAUUGUGUUAGGAAUACUGGUAAUUAUCUAGUCUUCUGUAUAUUAUACUUUAAUAUACCCAUUUCAUGCCUGCUGACCAUUAAAUAUCUUGCGCAGUUCGGAUAUCUUGUAGGAAGUCUUGAAAUUGACAAUGUAGGAGGAUGGCGGUACAUGUUUGGUUUUGGCGCUCCGCUUGCAGCUAUCAUGGCUAUUGGUAUGUGGACUUUACCACCUUCACCAAAAUGGUUACUUCUCAGGGCAGUUCAAGGAAAGGGGUCUAUGGAGGAUAAUAAAAAGAAGGCAAUUCAAGCCCUUAGAACGUUGAGGGGCCGCUCAACAAGUGAAAAGGUUUUAGCAGAUGAUGUUGAAGAUACCAUUGUCUCUAUUAAGGCAGCCUAUGCAGGACAGGAAGGUGAAGGGAAUAUUUGGGAGGUAUUUGAAGGAGCUAGCUUGAAGGCCUUCACCAUUGGAGGAGGUCUUGUUCUGUUUCAGCAGGUAUUUUGUUCUCUUUAACCCAUGUAUUAGCAGGUUAUUCAAGUUAAAGUUCUGGCCAUGCUCUUAUCUUUUAUUUUUUUAAUUUUAUGCCCUUUUUUUAUCUAUUUUCAAAAUACGGAUGAAUGCUACUUCUUUUUGAGUGGUAGCGUAGACAUGCUGGAUUUUUGUUAUAAAGCUAAACUCUUACUUGACAGAUAACAGGCCAGCCAAGUGUUCUAUAUUAUGCAGCUUCGAUACUUCAGGUACCAAUAUUUUGCUUGGAAUUGUUUGGUGGUAUAGUUUUUAUAUAGAAAAUGUAGAAGUAGGAUACUGUUAUCUGCCCUAUACAUUUCUUGAAUUCAUACAACUCAACGUCUCCAUCUCUAAAGUAUGCCUUAUGUAGACUGCUGGGUUCUCAGCUGCAUCAGAUGCUGCCAGAGUGGCAAUUUUGAUUGGGUUGUUCAAGGUAAUGCAGAAGAUCUACUUCAAUACUUGUAUAUUAGCUGUUUCUGAAUCAUUCUGUGUAGGUAAAAAUGUAAGGAUCUUAUGCUUUCUAUUAGUUUUGAGUUUGUGUAACAAUUCUAUUCUUCGCAGUUGCUAAUGACAGGUGUUGCGGUACUGAAAGUUGAUGAUCUUGGAAGGCGCCCAUUAUUGAUAGGAGGUGUUGGUGGAAUUGUGAGUAUUUGUUCCUUCCUGUUAUUUGAUUAAGUUCUACAUAUUACAUGGAAAGCCCCAUACACACACUUGAAUUCAGUUUGGCAAUUCCACUAAACAUGAACACUGACAAUACUAAUAUUUUAGGUAAUGUAUUAGACUACAACUCUACAUUAGAAUAAGAUAAUUGGUAAACGUAGUAACUUUGUGCAUGUUCUGUCAGGUUUGCAUUCCUAUGUUCUAACUAAAUUGCCUUAUGUUAUCUGUAACCUGUAAAUGCAGGCUCUGUCACUCUUCCUUCUUGCAGCUUACUACAAGAUCCUGAACAACUCCCCCUUUGUUGCUGUUGGCGCUUUACUUCUUUAUGUUGGUGCUUACCAGGUUGGUGCGUUAUUCUGCACGGGGAGCCUGACAAGCACAGCAAUAUUUUUUUCAGGAAUCCACAAAAAGCUUAUACAUCCAUGUGUUUCAGGUCUCAUUUGGUCCAAUUAGUUGGCUAAUGGUGUCUGAGAUAUUUCCACUGCGAACAAGAGGGCGUGGGAUCAGCCUUGCGGUACUAACAAAUUUCGGCUCAAAUGCGUUGGUGACAUUCGCGUUUUCACCCUUGCAGGUAUUGCUUCUCAAGUUCUCAUAUUGCUACCUCCUGGCUCCUGACGUGCAAUUUCAUGAUGUUUAGUUUCUGCAAGUGGAGUCCCCAAAUUACAUGAACAACUAAACGUGUCAAUACCUAGUAGUUGCGACCAAUGAAUCCUUUCUCAAUAAAUACUCAUUUUUAUCCUUGUCAUAGAAAAACUGCUGUUCCCUGUUCUAUGGUCCAAAUUCAGCAUCUUAUCAGGUCCAAACUCCAGACUAGUGUUUAUUUUUGUGUGUGUAUUUCAAAACUCCACCCUCUGCCAACUGAUCUCCAACGCUGGGGUUACCGGACUAGUGUAUUUUGGCUAUCUAUUCGAAUACUGAUAUAGCCUUUUUCAUUUUGCACAAAUACGGGAACAAACAAUACGUGCAGUUCUGCCAACAAUUUAUAUUUCUCUUUUCACCACAGGAAUUCCUUGGGCCAGAGAAUAUAUUUUUCCUGUUUGGGGCCAUAGCAGUGCUCUCCCUUGUGUUUGUGAUCCUCAAUGUUCCCGAGACAAAAGGACUGAGCUUGGAGGAGAUUGAAUCUAAGAUCCUGAAGUAAAAUGGCGUGGUCAAGGCUCCACAAACCCCGGUUGUUGGCCAGAAAGAUUAAUGCCGUUUACAACAUGGAUGCUCACUCGUAGGAUCAGAGUGCGUCAGUCUCAGACUUAGUAGCGCAGUUCACGUCUAGAUGUAAAGUUUUUCCUUCUUGUAAUUAAUAUUUCUGGAUAUGCAUUUGUAGCUACCAAGUCAUAACCACGUCCCAAUUGUCCAUUGCAUCUCAUCCCAUAGCAGCAGUAAGUAAUCGACUAAUCGUCGUGUUCUUGUGACUAUGCUGUAUGUGCUGGUGAGCUGCCGCAAUGAGGACGUCCCCAGUUACCCCCACUGUUUAGUUUUUGUUUUCUGGAACUAUUUUACCCCUACUGUCUGCUGGUGUGAAACUAUGCUGCAGAAAUUUGUUUGUACUUGCUCACUGAUGCUUACCUGUUUAGGUAAGCUAUUUUUCUCUGUUUUAUUUCCCGAAAAAAAAGGAAUGCCGAUGGGGGAACGGCGGAUGUCUUGGGAAGUAGUUUGGCGAUGGAGAAAAGCCAGCAUUACUGUCACUACUGCUCACAGAUGGAUGCAUCUGCAACUAGACUUUGUUUAGCAUCAGGACUGGAGUGUCACCGAACCAAACAGACAUCACAAUCAAGGAGCUCAUGAACAGAAAUGUAAAUCUGACCGACACAUUUAAUACUUGCUUAUCCAGCAUUUGAUUACUACUUAUCCUAACGCAUCUGGCCCAUAUUGCGCGUCCUGGUGGGGUUUGGAAUCGUGCAUUAUAUACUCUUGAUUCAGGAAUAAGCACACCACGGCAACUACUCCGUAUUCAGAUUUUUUUAUAACAAAAUGCAUUAGGAAAUUGAUCCGGUAUCCAGUGUGCUAUUUUUCGUAGAAUUUUCAAGAUAUUGAGGUACGCAACGGAAAUAUGAAAACACAUGAAAAAUGACAUGUCCUGUCGUGUCAUCGUGUGUGGUCACUGAGCUGAGCUUUCAUGCGUCUCCAUAUAGCUGACUAAGCUGAGCAGUUAGGUUCUUGCUUAUCAAACACGUAAGAAUGCAAACACUAACUAUAAAGUUAUAUAUUGUUCCAGGCAGGACUGCGAGAAAGGGAGAUUCUUCAUCCAGUUCGGUUGCGAUUCAGAAGUGCGAGUAGUACAUGAUCAACAAGGAGGGAGGGAACACGUCGUGCCGACUUGAUUGCCUCCAUCGUGGUGGCGGCAGCAGCAGCAACCCGACCGACGAGUCAGUCGCCGAGUAUGAAGUGGGAGCGAGACCGACGACGAUGUGAACCUCCCGCCCAGACCACGACAAGCGGGGGAUCCCGGCGACCUCGUCUAGUCUGGGCGUGGCGGCCGGAGGCCAUGGUCAUGCCCUGGCUGUUGCAGCCUGGCCAUGGUCCAGUUGCCAAAGUCUCCCAGGUCCCAGCGCUAUUCUUUCGGUGCUACACGACGUGCACGUUCCCUCGUGACGUGACGUGGACUUGCACACCAACAAAAGUCUCGGGCUCCGCCGUGCCGGGACGACCCUCCCUCUUGCGCGCGCACACGCGCUCCACGUGCAGGCUCCACGGCUUUCUAAUCUUACCAGCCAUGCUCCACCACCAAACAAUUAAUCCUAGUCUAGAUUCCAAAAGCAAACACCCAGUGCCAUGCACCACAGUUGCACAGGUGAUAAAAAGCACUAUGACUUGUCAAGCAAACUCGUGUUACCAGGCUAGCAGCUACCGUUCCAAUCCACCCGUCGCGCGUCAAGACUACUCGUCCUUUUCAUCAAACAGCAAUGCGACGGACGGUGCGAGUGUGACAACACUCUUAGUAUGACUGACGAUUAAGGAUGGCUUGCUUAUUACUCCCUUCACGUCGUUUUGAUUUUUUUAAUUCAUAGAUAUUAUCACUACUAGGAAAAACAGCUCUAGUAUCGGUUGAGAACCCUCCUCUAGUAUCGGUUUCGCAAUCGGUACUGGCAAUUCGGUACUAGAGGGGUAGAGGGGGAUCGUUUAGUACCGGUUGAAAUAACCGGUACUAAAGGGUAUUAAAAAAAUUAAAAAAACAAAAAUCCCCCUCCCCCGCCGCCUGCCCCUCCACCCGAAGCCGCUCAACCGGCCACUCCCCGCCGCCCCGAUGGCCGCCGCCACCGUGCCUCGCCCCACCGCCACUCCUCACCUCAGGCACGAGGUGAAGGGUGAGUGGAGGGGGAGGAGAGGGGAGGCCGGGGAGGGAGGGAGGGGGCUGGUAGCCUGGAGAGGGAGAGGGAGCGGAUGGAGAGAGGAUAUGAGGAUGAGGGAGGUGGAGCGGAGGGAGCUGAGGAUAAGGACGACCACUAAGGGGGCCAGUGCUUGGCGCGCGGACGGAAAACACUUCAGUACCGGGUGGAGCCCCCACCUGGUACUGAAAGGGGGUCACGGAAGGCUCCUCGGGGACUAUCCAUUAGGUUCGGUACUAAACAUUAGUAUCGGGCUAAAAAGUGACCGGUACUAAGCCUUAGGAUGAGAGGUCAUUUUUCUAGUAGUGUAUUAUGUACCUAAACACAUACUAACCUAAAAAUGAUCUACAAUUUGGAACAGAAGGAGUAGUAUUCAGCUAGCAUUGACUAAGCAAGCAAGUUCAAUUCUUUGCUGGGACGAUGGUGUCCUAAUUUUAUUUCGAUUGGUGACGAGGUGAGUUGCCUGAUGUAUCUGGCCCAUAUGGCGUCCUGGUGGGGGGAACGGGAUCGUGCAUCGUGCCAGCCGGGAAUUAAUAGAAGAGGUCACAAACUCACAAUGAUCCCAACCAGGCGUUGGGUUAAUUAGUGGUUCUAUAGGGACUUUGGAAUCCAAAAAAUACUCCUUUUAGAAAGACAAGCAAGGAAUCAAGCGCCGCGCACCUGACCGGGAAUACGGACAGAAUUCUGCCAUUCAGCACUAGUGCUAAUCAAGCGAAGAUUUCUAACGGUGAAAUCUGACUAUCAGUGACGCUGGUGCUCCCAUUUUUCUAAAUUUAUUUUGGAAUUUAACCGUCGCUAUUCUUUCAGUGGUAGACGGCAUGCCUGUUGACAGCGAGACGAUAGUGGUGCCUUAAUUUUUCGAAGGUGCUUAUAGGAGUAAGGUUGCGUGCGUGUAUUCGUAAUGGUGAGUCUGCAUACAUGUACGUGAGUGUCUGCAUGUGAUUUGAGAAAAAAUAGUAGUGUUAAUCAACAAGGUAAUUAACCCGUCGUGCUGACUUGAAUGCGUCGGCAGCUGCCGGUUGAACCUGGCUCGCCGAGUGACUGAGAGUGAGACUGCCAACCUGCCCAACGAACGAGGGACAGACACUCCCCUCUCCCUUACUUCGUUGUCAAGACGUGUGUUUGGUUGCUUGUAUUAUUUGGUUCGUAUAUGGAAUAGUUUAAAAUAAUAAUAAUUUUUUUAUUUGGUUGGGUGAAUUGUACCGACCUAUCUAGGAUGAAGUCAUCCCACUCAAUACAUUAUUCUAUAAAUAAUUAUGAACUAUAUGGUACAAGUAAAUUGAUUGAACCUACGAUCAAAUAUCAUCCAUAUAUGCAUUGCAGUCCUCGGUCCCGGAGUACGCCUGCGACCCGCGAACACACCGUCCGUCACGCCUGUUCAAUCAGCUGUUCACAGUUGCUGCUGCCCAUGGGCCUCACGUGCUUCGAUCUAGAUGCCUAGUGCCCACUUUGAGCAUCUUCCCCAUGAUAGUCUUCUUCUGACCAUCUUUCUUGAACGCAUACAUCACUUGAGCACCGUAAUCCUGUGCUCCAUCUGCGAAGGCCCAUCUAUAUGCAUGUCACCUAGGUGUUAGGGCUUCAAAGAACUGAACUUUGAGAUCGCUUUUGGUGGCUAGGAGCAACUUCACACGCUGACAUCAUGCAUUUCUUUUUGAACUAAAUUAAGGGCCUGUUUCAGCUUAGCUUCUCGGGUCUACUUUGGAAAGCUGAAACAAACAGUCCAGCUGUUGAAAUUGCUUUUGGAAAGCUAGCUUCUGAGGAAAUGAACUGAAAGCUGGAAAGCUAACUGAGAGGAGCUUUUCCUAACUUUUGGUGUGUUGAGAAGAUAAAAAUUUAUUACAAAAGUCAAUAGCAAAAGAUCAGCAAUCAAAAAGUCAAUUUUCACAUAGCUAGCUUUCCAGCCAAAAACUCAGGACGUUCGGCGGGCCUGUCCUCAUUGUUGUUUUUUCUUUUUUGGGAUAAUACGCUUGGUAGCAAUCUUUCUAACUAAAUCUAAGGACACACAGGAUAUGACAUGGACGAUAGGAGAUGAUUAUGAGAAGAAUGUUGUUGGUGCACUACACGGGCAACCACAAUGUGGUAGAAAAGUAGUCCAUAUGUACUUUUAUUUUCCAUUCAGCCACCUAGUAACAUUGUGCAAGUAAUCCAUAUGUAGGAGUACAAAUUAAUUUUCGGUUAUCUAUAGGAAAUGGUAGUGUUAAUGGCAACAACAUGUUUUGGAAGUGGAUAUAUAACACACAAAUUCCGUACCUUUUUGUGUGUUCGAGAGGAUCCGUGUCCCAACUAGUUUAGUCUUGUUUGGCGAUGACACAUGCACCUACAUCCAGGACCUUAGGGUUAGGAUUAGUGGGUUUUCAAUGUUAGAACUUGGGUUUUACCAUUCUCCGAAAACAGAUGCAAGGGAAGAAGGCAAUCUUGGCAGUGGAAUCAACGGUGCAUUGACAUUAGGGCGGAAUGUAGUGAAGCAGCGGCAUGAAGAAGGUAGCUAAGUAUAAUGGUAUUACAAGGGUGAUGGGAGACGACGAUGAGCAGAAUGUUGCGGCUUGCCGAAGCAUAACCUACUAUUGUGGUUGGAGCACCGACAAGUAUGGGCAACCGUACAGCCGUAGAGGAGAGGGGAGGGUGAGCCGAUCAGGGAUGUUAGGUAAUUUUCUCUUAAUGAAAUACGUGCUAGUGAAAAAAAGGACGUUAGGCAAACAGAUGGGAGCAAUGGAAGAAGGAAACGACGUCAAUGUUUGAUCACCUAAAAAUCGUGUGUUUUCAGCAUUAGAAUCACUAUGAGUGAGAAGUAGACAGGUAAAAACCUCAAGUACCAUGCCACUACUUGCACCAGUCGCAGUAUAGUGUCCAAUAAACCCACAAAUGCAGCGUCAAGACCUGUCGUUCCUACCUCUCCGAUCCUAUGAAGCGAGCAGCCAGCCAGCGCCGUUCCCUCUGAUGCCGUCCACUUCCACGUCCCUCCCGUGCUGCCGUGCACGACAAACCCAGGCGCUCGUGCCGGUGUAGCCAUAGCCCCGAUGACUUUGACGACGCGCUGGGAUUGUUGCGGCCGGAAGCUAUAAGCCGAGCACGCCGGCCGAUCGCUGAGAGAUCAACGUGUCUUGUUCCAGCUCCACCAUGGCGUCUGUUCUUGCCGCGGUGGUGCCCGUCCUGCUCGCUCUUCUGGCUCGAAGCGGAUCACCGGCCGCAGCCGGCGCCGCCACCGAGUUCGUUCUCGCCGGCUUCGCGGGUGCGAACUUGACGGCCAGCGGCGCGGCCGUGGUCACCUCCUCCGGCCUCCUUCGGCUCACCAACGAGACCAACGAGGCGUUCGGGCACGGCUUCCACCCCGCACCGCUGCGGUUCAAGGACGCCUCCACGGGCGCGCCGGUCUCCUUCUCCACCACGUUCGUGGUCGCCAUCCUGCCGCGCUACCCGGACGCGCACGGCCACGGGCUCGCUUUCGCGCUGGCGCCGUCGGCGACCGUGUCGGGAGCCGUGGCGGGGAAGAACCUCGGGCUUUUUAACACGUCGAACCACCUCGGGAAUGGGCAGAGCGAGGUCGUCGCUGUCGAGCUCGACACGGCGAUGGACGAGGAGUUCGCCGACAUCAACGACAACCACGUCGGCGUCGACGUCAACAGCCUAAAGUCCAAUUGCUCGAAGCCAGCGGGCUACGUCGCCGACGCCGGCACCGUCAAGCUCAACGUCAGCUUGGUCUGCGGGGACCCCCUGCAGGUGUGGAUCGAGUACGACGGCGCGAGCACGCGCCUCGAGGUGACCGUGUCACCGGCCGGCGUGCCCAGGCCGGCCGUCCCGCUUGUGUCUUGCGCCGUCAACCUCUCGUCGGUGGUGGCCGACGGCACGUACGUCGGGUUCUCGGCCGCGAACGGCGCUGCCUCGAGCUCGCACUACGUUCUCGGCUGGAGCUUUCGCCUCGGCGGCGGCCGCGCGCCGGACCUCGACCUGUCAAAGCUCCCGCGGGUCCCGUCGUCUAGGCCCAAGAAGACCAUGCAUCCGCAACUGGUCCUGGCGCUGAUCCUGCUUGCCGUCGUGGCGCUCCUCGUGGUGUCAGCGGGCGUCACGCUGUUCGUCGUCUGGCGCCGGCGGUUCACCGAGGUGGAGGAAGAUUGGGAGUUGGAGUACGGACCUCACCGGAUCAGCUACAAAGACCUGCACGCGGCGACCAGAGGCUUCCGCGACGUCAUCGGCGCCGGCGGCUUCGGCCGCGUGUACCAUGGCGUGCUCCGGCGGUCGGGCACGGAGGUCGCCGUCAAGAAGGUGGCCCAUGACUCGCGGCAGGGCUUGCGCGAGUUCGUCUCGGAGAUCGCGAGCAUGAGCCGGCUGCGCCACCGCAACCUGGUCCAGCUCCUCGGCUACUGCCGGCGACGGGGAGAGCUCAUACUCGUCUACGACUACAUGGUCAACGGCAGCCUCGACAAGCACCUAUUCGACGCUGAAAACAGGCCGGCGCUGAGCUGGGAGCGGCGCGCCAAGAUCAUCCGCGACGUUGCCGCCGGGUUGCUGUACCUGCACGAGGAGUGGGAGCAGGUGGUGGUGCACCGCGACAUCAAGGCCAGCAACGUCCUCCUCGACACCGACAUGAACGGCAAGCUCAGCGACUUCGGCCUGGCGCGGCUCUACGACCACGGCAGCGAUUCGCAGACGACGCACGUCAUCGGGACGCUCGGGUACCUCGCGCCGGAGAUGAUCAAGACCGGCAAGGCCACCCCGAGCGCCGACGUGUUCGCGUUCGGCGCCUUCCUGCUCGAGGUGGCCUGCGGCCGGAGGCCCGUGGAGUCACUCAGCAACAACAAUGCGGACCCGGCGGGGCUCGUCGACAACGUCCUCGAGUGCUGGAAGACCGGGAGGAUCAGAGACGCCAGGGACCCGAGGAUCGGCAAGUGCGACGAGGACGACCUCGAGCUGGUGCUCAAGCUCGGGUUGCUAUGCUCGCACCCUGAUCCCCGGUGCCGGCCGAGCAUGAGGCAGGUGGUGCAGGUACUGGAAGGCGCCGCGCCGGUGCCGGAGACGCCGCCGGAAGAUCUAGGCAGCAGCGGCAGGACCUUCGGGUACUACGAGACGUUCGAUGAGUUCCUCAACAUGUUCCCGACGACGAUCGAGGUGGCGACCGUCACGCCGCGCCUUGGUCGCACUCCAGCGCCGAACACCAGCACCUGAUCUCCGGCGGAGUUCUGGCUCUGCCAUCAGCUCUCGUCAAUAAAUUACAAAAUUCUCUUGUAACUAAAUUCAAAUUUCUCUUACCACUAAAUUGCUACAAAAUCGCUGUGAUGUGCUUAGGAUGGUUCAAAUUGGAAAGCAAACAGUUACAAGAUUAGGUGUUGUAAUAAUCUUGUCUAAAGAAGUGAACAUAGGUUGUCAGACAGUUUUAGGAUGAUCAAAGAGUGGUUUUGCUUUCAUAAGUCCUAACACCUAAUUAACCUAAUCGUUGAGGUUUUGUACGUGUAAUUUUUUUUCUGCAAGUGAGUAAUCGUUGAAGUUUUGUAUGUGUAAUCUUUUUUGUAAGUGACCAUAUGAGAUACUAUAAUCUCCGAAAUGUUUUUCUACAUAUUCAUCAUUUUAGAUUUAUAUAUUUUUGAGAUAACUCAUCUUGUAAGUGAUAAGAACUAAAGAUCAUGUUACCACUCAACCAUCAAAAUCACAAAUAAUAAUCUUUUUUUUCCUUAUAUCCUCCCUUCGUUGACCGCAACAUUGACCUACGCAUCAUAGAACAAGCAAACCGGUUCAUGCAACCCAAAAUCCCCACAUUUAAAACUCUGUACCUGUAAUGCAGUGUGCCGUUGCAUCCUCCUCAGUCCCACACGACACGAGCAAGGCAUCAGCCAUCACUCCCGUUUGUCACAAACACAGCCAAAUCCGAUCGAUGUGAACGGCAUCGACCGUUCACCCAGCUAUUCUCUGUCGUUCAUACCUGGUCGCUCGGUUCCCCAGCGAAAUAACAUAGGCAGACCCCCCGCACAUAGCUCUGGCCCAGAGAAUGACUUGAGAUCCUGGCAUCUCUCGAGCGAGCAACUCAGACAUUCGAGUGAUUGACCAUCGAGCCAACACGUGGGGUGGUGCCGACCUGAACGCAUCCAUCAUCGAGUGCCUCUGCCUGCCCAACGCCAACGAACGCCGGCCCGGACCUCGCUCGACCUCGUCGUCAACAAGGCCGGCCGGUCCCGGAGUACGGCGGCCAUACAUCCGGCCUGUGGAAUGCUAAUAACAUGGGAUGGACCUGGCUGGAGAUAUCCAGCAAUGACCACACGGUGUGCAUCGUCCCAAGCUGCAGAGUCAGUCAGUCGUCGUCUUCUAUCACAGCAAACGCAGUACAGUAUUUAAGUAGUGACAGCUACCUGUUCUUGGGUCCCUCUCUGAAUGUUGUACAUGUAUCCGCUGAAUCUGCAUGCAAAUACAGACGGCAGAAGUAGGGACUGAUGACUUGAGGUCUAGACGUCUAAUUAAGCUGAUGUCGACCUCUGGGUACGUAUGCUAUUUACCAAUUUACCACCAUGUUGUUGAUCAAGAUCAGAUAACCACGGUGCUUGUUGCCAGCCUAGAAGGUGCGGUGUGAUGGACAGAGACGGCGGUCACUGCUUGCGAGUGUGGUGCAUGCUUUUGCAUUGCCUGGCCGUUCGUCUGCAAUCGAUAUGAUGUUGUUCAGCUGCCGCGUAAGCUAGGCAAGUCGAUCCACAACUUGGCCGGCAAUUUGCAGUUUCCUUGGCUACGUUAUGCCUCUGGUUAGUACAGUACUAGCUCCAAACUCCCAACUGAAUGCAUGCGAAUGCAAACCACACAGAAGUCUCGAGCUGAAGGGGCCAUUAGCUGGGUAUGUGACAGGGAAUGCGAAUUUGACUUUUGGAAUGCAUGUCGUCGUUUUCCACUGUGAGAAUGACACCUCUACUUGUGUCAAAUUCAGCAAAAACCUAAAGAAUGAUUUGCAAAUUUUAGAUCAAAAAUUUUUACGUCAUAUAUGAAUUGGAGUUUUGCAAAUUCAAAGGUAUCUUAAAGUGAGACACUACACGGCAAAAGCAAUGUGGUGCAGUGCUCCAUAUGAAUAUGCAACACACAUAUAUAUCCUCACUGACAUUUUGCGGAGCUGAAUUUCCAGCAUCUAAAACAAAACAAAAAGGAAUGGGAAAUCUAUAUGUGACUUGAGUAUUCCCUUCAAUAAUUUCUUUUCCGAUUUCAGCUACAUGCACAUAUGACAUCCCUGCUUCAUGUCCGGCAAGAUCAGGGUUCCAGAUUUGGGGAAUUGGAGGCUGCAUUAGAGGAUUUAGAGGGGAGGGAUGUGAAUGAAGGUUAGCCUAGCAGUGGAGGGCCACGGUGGCCACAACGGUGAAGUAGCAUGUGACGGAGGAUGGGCACUGCUGGGGAUCGCCAAAGAACUAAACACCCUCGAGCGCCAUUCGUGGGCAUAGUUUUCCAAAUGGGCCGCCCGGCCCUAGCCCGGCACUAACCCAUCCUGGCCCAGCACUAAUAGGCCCGAAGGGUUUUCGUGCCGGGCUGGGCUGGCACUGCGUGCCGAGGAGGCAGCCCAGGCCCGGCCCGACGACCUUUUUAUCGGGCUGGGCCAGCCCACAACACGACGGGCCAUGCCGUGCUAGUGCCCGGCCCGGCACUAGCAGCAGCGGCCGGCUCCAGUUGCCCUCGGAGGGCGGCGACGGUCGGCGGCCGGCCCCCCGCGUCGGCCCCUGGCGGCGGCGGCGGCGGCGGCUGGCCCCCCGCGUCGACCUCGGGCAGCUGCGGCGGCCGGCCCCCCGCGGCAGCCUCGGGCGACGGCGGCUGGCCCCUUGCGGUGGGCAUGGCGACCACCGUCGCCAAGCAAGCAGGAAGGUGGGACUGUGGGAGGACCCUGGGAGGCGGACGGGUGGAUGGUCAAAUGGGGGGAAAUUGAAAGUAUAAGUAGGGUUCUGCAUUUAUAUGGUAGUUAGAUCGGGCCACAUCGGGCCGGUCCAAAAAUCAUGCCAGGCUCAUGCUGGCCCAGCGUGCCGGGGAGGCGGCCCAGGCCCGGCACUAUCAUCGUGCCGGGCCAGCCCUGGCACUAUUCACUUCGUGCCGGGCCCGUGCUCGUGCCGUGCUUUUUAGUGUUGGGCCUCGAGCCACCCAACGGGCCUGGCCCAUUUGGAAAUCUUUGUUCGUGGGUAAAAACUCUCUAACCUCGCAAGUUCUUGGUCAAGGAAUAAAACUUGGUUAACCUCGCAAGUUCUUAUGGAAACUAUUCUGGUAGUAAAACUCAUACCCUCGCAUCUUCUUUGUUACUGGAGGGACUCGAAGCUGGCAACUGGUAACUAAUAACUAAACUCCAACUGAGCUAACCCUCGAGUGUUCGGAAUCAGUCCUGAACACCGAGCUUUCAUCUUUUUUACUCUUUACUCAGGAACGGAACCUGAAGGGAGAUUCCGUGAGGUUACAAGAUUCUCAGAGCAACACAACGAACCAGGCGUCACGAGGUUGGACAACUAUCUCAAGCCAAGGGUGGAGACACGAGGCUGGAAGAUCGAUCUGGUGAAGGUGAAGUCCCGAGGUUGGAAGGACGGAGGCGUGAGAAACGUGACCAUAUUGAGGAAUUCAAUUUAUACACGUUACCCCAUGACCUUUAUGUAUGGCAUAUCCUAGAAAUGUAGUGGUUGAGGAAGGACAUUUCGAAAUGUAAAGUGGCUCAUGUGUCACUAUAAUAGGGGAGCUCUACUCCAUUGUAAAGGAAAAUCGAUUGUUUUUUAGAACUUCCAAGUGUUAUCUCUUUUUAUUCACGAAUUUGUUUGGUAUCGAAUUUUUCACGAAUUUGUUUGGUAUCGAAUUUUCUUUGAGACCAACAGGCAAUGAGGAGGUUAGGGUGGGCGCAACUCAUUUCAAUGGUGUAUGGUAGCAUAGUGAUGACAGAUCGAUCCGGUGGUGGGAUCCACCUGAAAUGAGAGAAGAAGGGCGGUAAGGGGCACCACUCAACGCAAGAGGAAGCUCCUCGGUGAGCACAUCGGGAGGAAGAAGGAACUACAAGAAGAAGCCCAAGGAAGAAGAUCUAGUAACUGUUGGAUUUCAAUCCAUGAACAUUCAGAUGUAUGGAAAAGAAAAGAAAAGAAAAGAAAAGAAGCCCGUAAGCAGUAUAGCUGGCCUAAAAAGAGAUACCAUGCAUGGCUUCAAGGAUGGGUCCGGGAUGUGCACUGCUGGCGCAGAACCCAAACACCAAAACAAGCACACACUUGCCAAACGUCACUCUUCAACACUUGUCGUACAGUAGAUUUCUACCUCUCCCAUCCUUGUCGUGCUGUGAAGAUAUCACCCGCGAGCAGCCAAUCCGAGCGCUCCCCGCUCCCAUCCUGGCCCCUCCUCCGAUGCCGUCCACUUCCACGUCCCUCUCGCCCGGCACGGCGCCGGACCACCAGCUGAUCGAGGCAUCGGCGACGACGCGACCAACCCCUACCCGGGCACCAGUAACCGGGACAUGCCUUUAACACGCUGGGAUCCCACUUCGACAGAAAGAUGUAAGCAAAGCAAACGACGCCUCGUUUCGUUCCAUAUCAUGGAGGCGGCCAUUCUUGCCGUGCUGGUGGCCGUCCUGCUCCUCCUCGCCCGAGGCGGAUCGGCGGCGGCGGGGGCCGGCGCAGCCACCGAGUUCGUGUUCACCGCCGGCUUCGCGCGCCAGAACGUGACGACCAGCGGCGCGGCCGUGGUCACGGCCUCCGGCCUCCUGCAGCUCACCAACGAGACGAACGAGGUGUUCGGGCACGGCUUCUACUCGGCGCCGCUGCGCUUCAAGGACGCCUCCACGGGCGCGCCGCUCUCCUUCUCCACCACCUUCGUGUUCGCCAUCGUGCCGCGGUACCCGGACGCGCACGGCCACGGGAUCGCCUUCGCGCUCGCGCCGUCGCCGGCCGUGGCGGGAGCCGUGGCGGGGAAGAACCUCGGCCUGUUCAACACGUCGGAUAACACGGGGCAGGGGAGGAGCGGGAUCGUCGCCGUCGAGCUCGACACGGCGCGGGACGAUGAGUUCAGGGACAUCGACAAGAACCACGUCGGCAUCGACGUCAACAGCUUGGAGUCCGUGAACUCAACGCCGGCGGCGUACGUCGAUGUCGGCACCGGCAGGCUCGUCAACUUCAGCCUGGUCAGCGGAAACCUCCAGCAGGUGUGGGUCGAGUACGACGGCGCGAGCAUGCGCAUGGAGGUGACGGUGUCGCCGGCCGGCAUGCCCAGGCCGGCUGUCCCGCUCGUGUCGUACACCGUCAACCUCUCGUCGGCCGUGGCCGACGACACUUACGUCGGGUUCUCGGGAGCGAACGGUGCGGCCUCAAGCUCUCACUACGUUCUUGGCUGGAGUUUCCGCCUCGGCGGCGGCCGCGCGCCGGACCUCGACCUCUCCAAACUCCCGCCGCUCCCACCUUCAAGAUCCAAGAAGAUGAUGCCGCUGCUACUGAUCCUCACACUGUUCCUAGUUGCCGUCUUGGUACUACUCCUAGUGUCGGGGGCAGUCGUGGUGCUCGUCAGAAGGCGCCGCCGGAUCGCCGAGGAGGAGGAGGACUGGGAGAUCGAGUACGGCCCUCACCGGAUCCGCUACAAGGACCUGCACGCGGCGACCAGGGGCUUCCGCGACAUCAUCGGCGCCGGCGGCUUCGGCACCGUGUACCACGGCGUGCUCCGGCGGUCGGGCGCCGAGGUCGCCGUCAAGAAGGUGGCCCACGACUCGCGGCAGGGGCUGCGCGAGUUCGUCUCGGAGAUCGCGAGCAUGAGCCGGCUGCGCCACCGCAACCUGGUGCAGCUCCUCGGCUACUGCCGGCGACGGGGCGAGCUGAUGCUCGUCUACGACUACAUGGUCAACGGCAGCCUCGACAAGCACCUGUUCGACGCCGGCAAGCCGGCGGCGCUGAGCUGGGAACGGCGCGCCAAGAUCGUCCGCGACGUCGCCGCCGGGCUGCUGUACCUGCACGAGGGGUGGGAGCAGGUGGUGGUGCACCGCGACAUCAAGUCCGCCAACGUGCUCCUCGACGCCGACAUGAACGGCAGGCUCAGCGACUUCGGCCUGGCGCGGCUGUACGACCACGGCAGCAACCCGCAGACGACGCACGUCAUCGGGACGCUCGGGUACCUCGCGCCGGAGAUGAGCAAGACGGGCAAGGCCACCACGAGCACCGACGUGUUCGCGUUCGGCGCCUUCCUGCUCGAAGUGGCCUGCGGCCGGAGGCCCAUGGAGCGCAACGACGACCUCGACUCGCCGGGGCUCGUCGACCUCGUCCUCGAGCACUGGAAGGCCGGGAGGAUCAUGGACGCCAGGGACCCAAAGAUCGGCGAGGGCGACGAGGCCGAUGUCGAGCUGGUGCUCAAGCUCGGGCUGCUCUGCUCGCACCCGGACCCCCGGUGCCGGCCGAGCAUGAGGCAGGUGGUGCAGAUACUGGAAGGCGCUGCGCCGGUGCCAGAGACGCCGCCGAAGGAUCUAGAAAACAAUAACAGGUUGUUCUAUGGAUACAUCGAGUCGUUCGACGAGUUCGCCACCGUGUUCCCGACGUCCGGGACCACCACCGUCACGACACAGCCGUCUUCUUCGCACUCCAACGACGAGCAGCAGGAGGUGAUCUCCGGCUGAGUGGUGACAUCUUCUCUCUUCACCAAACCACCAAAAAGUUCAGUCAUGUGCCUACUUACGGUGGUUGGAACUUGUAAAGGAAAGCAAGUAGUCAUAGAUUUAGAGUCAAAGAGGUGUUUGAUCUUUUUCGAAGUGAACAUAGGAUAUCGUCAGCCAUUUGUAGGGAUGACAAAAACAAUAAAGUUUGAUGUAUCAAGUCCCAACUGCCGAGGCCGGCUAUACCAAUCAGGUUAAUUAUCAUUUUUGGCUGGUGCAUUUCCAGAAGAAAAGACUCUGCAAAUGACAAGUGCAUGAGAACGGGUGGUGGACCACAAUAACCUUAUAUGGAUUGUAGGUGAAACAGUGAAUCUCUUCAAAUUAACAGUUAAAUAAACCUCAAAAGAAGUAAUGAUAUGGAAACAUCAUUUUUGUGAAGAAUCAGAACCCAGGUGUCGCUUUCGCUGGGCAUCAACUUGCUUACAUGGGAAGAAGAUUGUGGCAUGUGAACCAUAAACUUUAUAAUAGAAGUAUUGAGUUUAGAACAGUGGUCAGUGGACUUGGGAAAGAUACGGGAAGGUAUCUGAAAUCUAAAAUAUCUGAACAACCGAAAUAGACAGCACGUACAAGUGACAUGAGGAAGGUCCUAAUUGGAAAAUUACGACAGGCAAUGCCAGCUUCUAUCCAUAUAACAUUAGCUUACAGGUUAGCUGACUAGUUCAUUCAUCUAUAGCCUCAGCCACAAGCAGAAUCAUCAUCAUCUUCCUGGAUGCCCUGUGCAGCACCUUGGAUCAUUUCAUCAUCAACUCCUGGAAGGAAGUUUAGAACGUCUGAUAUUUAGCUUUUGUCAUUACCUGCAGAUAAAGUCUACAAAAGGAAAUACAUGUGGAUGUACCUUCAAUGAAGGAUUCAAAUUCAUCUUCAUUUGGUUCCCUUGGUGCGAUUCGGCUGACUGAUUGAUUAAUCUCCAUCCAGUUUGGUUGCUCAACUGGGCCAGAGAACAGUGCAGGUGUAUCCACAACCCAGUCAUCAACUAUGUCUACGUAGUCCACUGAGACAGGAUCAAAUGCUUUCACCUUGCGCUGUUGUCUAUGAACAAUUAUUAAUAAGAUCGGUCAAUCAAACCAUGUUUUUUUAGCAACACAUUCAAAUUUAACUCAUAAUGGCAAGACUCUAUACAAAAAGAUGAUUCCAUUACCUUUGCUGCAGCCGUAGGUUGUAUUGUACAAAGGUGAGAUCAUGCAUUCGCUGACGCUCAAAACUAUUCAAUCUUUCAUCAUGAACUUGCUCAAAAGGAAUGUGCGCCCGAUCACAUCCUCUAGCGCUGCAGGUUUGACUAAGAAUACGGACCGCUAGACGUGUUAAAUUUGGGCAAGCUCCUCCAUAUGUAUACCACCAUUCAGCUGUAAGAUAAAAUAACAAUAGUAAAGGCAAAAUGUUAAAUAUCACUUAACAAACUUUACAUUGUGACAACAUCAUUAAAGGGAAGCACAAUUUAACUAGGUUCCAAAUAUUGAAAGAAGGCUAACAAUGUAAAGUUUGUCAGAAAAGUCUCAUUUGGUUAGAUAAAACAAAAUAACCCUACAGAUGUAACUCAAGUUUGCAUGACAAAAAAAAACAUAAUACUAGCGUGUAUUACUAGUUAACGAGAAAUUCUUAAAUACUAACCAGGAGGUAAAGUUCGUCUGGAUCGGAUAGCCAUCUGCCUACGAAAAUCCCCUGCUGUCUCACUCCGGUACAUGUUGAGCUCUCGCUGGAUUUUAUCUUGGAUUUUCACAUCAGAAACCAGCCUUUCUAUGCAAUCUAGCAUUCCUGAGAAGAUUCCAUUUGAUACAUCACCUCGAAUUCCAUCAAAAAAUAGUGGAUUCAGGAAGAAACCAGCUGAAUGAAGUGGCCGUGGUGUUUGGUUGUCCCAUCUCCAGUCGAUGAUAUUCCAAUAAGCCAUGUAGUCGUUCUUACUCACUAGCUCUUUCUUGAUUGCUGCUUUGGCCUGGUACAAUCCAGCAUAAAUGUACCCCAUAGCAGGCCUCUUUGUACUACCAACUAGCUUAAGGAGAUGCACAAGUGGCUCGGUGAUGUGAACAACAGCAGCACAAGAGGACCAAAACUGCAAACUAUUAACAAGAUUGCUUACUUCGAUCCCUCCUUUCUUUGGCAGCAAAAAGUGUAUCCAUUCAUCCGAGUUGACCAUGGCUUGCAAAGCCUCCUUCAGACCGUACAUGUUCUUCAGUGUGACAAAGUUCAUAGAAGCGCGAGUCUCUGCAGGAACUAGCAGAUCCUUCCCAUGCAGAUACUUCUUCAUUAGAUUCAAUGCAAAUGCGCUGUUGUAGAAAAAUCCUGUGAGGGCCUUUGCAUUACUUAUUAUCUCACUGAUUGCCCCUACCUUACUGAAAUCUUCAAGCAUGCCAUCGAUGCACUGGAAAGAGCAUGGAGACCAGAACAAUGUUGGAAAUGUUUCACCUAGCUUUUUUCCUGCAGCUGCAUGGAUCUCAGAGUUGUUUGUGAUUACUUGGACAACUUUUUUCUCGCCAACUUCCUCGACAACACUUUUCAGUAACUCAUACAGUGCAUCUGAAGAUGCGACAAUGCUGGUUGCAUCCACCGAUUUGAGGAACAUAGUGCCUUCUGGGCAAUACACUGAAAAGUUUAUCAAGGUUCUGCCUUUAUCAGUGAUCCACUCAUCAGCCAACACCGAGCAGCCAGUCCUUGUCCAUGACCCCUUGAAGAACUCCAACCGAGACGUCGCAUCAUCCAGUGACUUCUUAAGAAUGUGACCACGAAAGUCAUGGUAUGAGAGCGCCUCCGGCCUCCCUCCUGCCGAUGCAAUAGCCUCAAGCAUGGGCUGGAAGUAGACUGAAUUCACUGCUUCCAAUGGCACACCAACAUCAUACAAGAACCUCCCAACUGCCACAGAAACCUGCUCCUUGUCCAAACCAGCAUGUCCGAAAUGUCCUGAUGAUGGUGUAACUGCGUCGACUGCCAUCACAACCUGAUGAAGAGGAUUGGUCUGAGGAGUAGACGGAACAUGCUGCUGCAGAGUCGGGGGAGUAAGUGGUGGAGUGGAGGCGUUACUCAACAUCUUCCUCUUCUUCUUACUGCUGACACUCCCCCUCAUGGUCUCCGGAAGCGGAGGCCUCUGUUCGUCGAGCGGCACGGGUUCGAAGUCCAGCACCUCGUUGAGCGGGAUCAUGUGGAUGGGGCUGUCGGUGGCCCCACCGCUCGCGGCGGAGGCGGGCGACGCGUCGGUGGGGGCGAAUCGCCUCAUGUCGCCGGGCGGGAGUGCGUUGGCUAGCUUGCGCUGCAUCUUCUUGGCGGCGACAGCGUCGAGGCUGCGCAUCAUGGUGUCCUGGACGUCGCGGGGCACCUUGGGGCAGCAGCAGGCGUUCCCGGGGCGGCGGGCCAGGUGCUCCUUGAAGCGGUGGAUGCCGCCGCCGAGGAAGUGCUUGCCGCAGUAGGCGCACUUGAGGCGCACCCGGCCCUCGGCGCGCACCAUGAGGCAGUGCUUCCACGCCGGGUCGUGCUUCUGCGCGCCGAUCUGCACCACCUCCUCCUCCUCCGCCCCCGCCCCGGCCGCCGCCGCGGCGUCAUCCCCCUCCUGCCUCUCCAUCCGGGCGCGAGCACUGCAUCAGCCAUCACCACCGGGCGUCACGAACGGCGCAAUUGGAUUCGAACGCAAUUCAUCGAGAGUCCUGCUGCUAAUCCCCCAAUUAGCCGAUGGCGCGCGCGCGAAAUGAACCUGUGCGGCCCCGCGCGCGCGAACCGAGCGAACCAGGAGAACCUGAAAGGAGUGGGGGAAAGGGUGGGAGGAGCGGGAUCGAGAGAGAAGAGAGAACUCACCCGGGUUUUUGGGAGGCGAAACGGCCGGGCUCCCCCAAAUCGGCGUCCGCCGGGGCGGGGAGGAAGAAAACCAGUGAGGUGGAGGUGAUUGGGGAUGGUGAGCGACGGGCGAGACGUGGGUGAGGAGCGAGCCGGCCGGGUGGGGUUGGUUGGUUGACCUGGCCGAGAGGGAGGGGGAGAGGGAUCGGGCACCGGCCCAGCCGGUUCUCGCGUGGGUUGGUUCGGGUCAGGUCACAUCAGGUUUGGGCUGAUCGGGGCGAAUGUGCCGGACCGUGGGCCGGCCUGGUUGGUUUGGCCGGAGGAGAGUGCAAAGCACUCGUUGCCCCACCCGUCAAACCGGGCAUCACCGGCCGCGGCGCCGGCCCGGAGAUGCUCGUUUCCCGACUCCCGAGGCACUAGCUGUCGCGCAAUGGGUACGGUGCAAGCUGCAGGGGGCAGAUGGGGACAAGUAAACACCUCACUCCACUCCAUCUCAGUUCUCAGCUGAUGGCAAAGAUGAACUGAGAGCUGAUGGCGAAGAUGAACUGAGAACUGUAGCUAGAUUGAGAGCUGGGGAAAGAGGUCGGGGAGGGGGGAUUUCGUUCCGAAGGCCUUGCUACGAGCUGAUCUUACCAUCACCAUUCAGCAGCACCGAGGUAUGGUUCUCUCGGGUCACAAUGUUUGCAUAUCUUUCUGCAGAUCGAGCUAGGUCUAUAUGUUGGGGAAAAUAAUUAGUUUUCUCUUCCCUUUUUGGCUGGGGAAUGUCAGUGAAAAUCGCAUGGGAAACUUCCGUGAGAUUGUGCCCGUGCGUGUGAGAUUUCGGAAAUAUGUAGGACAAAUCCCGGGCAAAAGGAAGAAGUGGCGUGCUCAAUUUAUUCUUCCCCCAAGUGACUGGUUGAACUCGCUGGAGUUGGUAGCUUUGGUUCGUUAUGUGGACCUGAUAUGAUGUGCCAGUAUCAGGAGGGAAGUGCCUUUGAGGGAUGGGAUCAUGGGAAUGAAUCUUUUUUGUUUUUUUGCCUGCUCCCCUUCUCUCUUCUUCUCUGCUCGCAUUUGGGAGACCUGACGCCUACCAGGAAGCUAGGGGAGUUCAGUUCACGUUGAUUUCUUUGUUUGAGAAUUAGUGUCUUUUUUUGGAAAAAGACACGUAGGUUACCCCCGGUAAAUAAUUAGGCAUUAGAUUAGAAAACGUUAUUUGUCUCAUGAUUUAGAGUUACAAGUACUGUACUUCUCGGACACAUUUCAUGGUACCAAAUUAUAGGUCGACCUAUAAUUUGGAACAGAGGGAGUAGUACGUUAAUUUUAGGUUAUGCAUUCUUAGAUGUAAAGUAUGUGUACCUGUAUUUUGUUAGUUGGAUUUGACCAAUUGGUGUCGAUUCUUAGAUGGAGAAUUUUCAGGGUGUGUAGGUUAAGUGGGUGUUUGGUUCCACCUUGCUAAACUUAGUUGCUAAAGUUUAGCAACUUUUAGCUGCUAAACUGCCAAACACCCUUGCUAAAACUUGCUAAAGUUGAGUUGCUAAAGUUUAGCACUUUAGCAAGUUUUAGCAACCAAAAACUUGUCUCCCCCCUCUUGCGCACCUAUACCCCUCAUUUAUUGCUUGUCUCCCCCCUCCUGCGCACCUUUAAUAAGGGUAGAUAGGUCUUUUUAUAGCUCAUUAAAUGUCUUUUAGCAAGAGUAUCCAAACAGCUUUUGCUAAAGUUUAGCAACUUUUAGCAACUAAAGAUUAGCAAGAGGAACCAAACAUGCCCUAAGAUGGAAAUCAACAACUGUAGGUUUUAAGGACGUGAUUUAUGAAACAUUAAAUGGCUCUAUUGUAAUUAGGAUUUUCGCACUAUAAUAAAUCCCAACAGCUGGCAUCACAGUUUGGAUGGAUUUUAUAUGGGAGGCUGAGAGGUCCUAAUUUUGUGUCUUGAACUAGAUAUGUUGGGCCUAACGAAAUUUAGGGUCUUUCUAUCGAUCGAGAUGGUGUUGGUUUCAGCAGUUUUUUCAGUUACAGUGUUUGAAUUCCCAAAUCAAGGGUAGAAUGGGGAGAUGAUGAAAUGGUAGGCAUGCUGUUUUUCUCUAAACCUUAGGAAGUUUAUUUGUGCCCCCAUGCUGGGUGGGAUACAGGUAGCUCUGGUUUGUUUUUCAUAUGGCUUUCUGCAUAAGCAGGGAAGCAUGUUUCAUCUGUAAAGGAAGGGGAAUGCCACUGGAUGUGGUGAAAAUUUAGAAGGAAUGUACUGAAUGGUGAACGCCUACCAGAUGUCAGAAAAUAUGGGUCAAAUGAAACCUUAUUUAGGAAAUACAUCUCUUACGAGGCUAUAGAUUGUGAAUGAACUGAUACCUUUUUUUUCUGCAGGCAUGUCAAUAACCGAGAGCUUCACGAUAUACCAUGGGGAUAAUUUGUUUACAAAUGGACCUGCGGGGGUGCAGCGGAAUCUGGCCGGCCGCGUCGUGUACAAGAAGCUGCUAGGGCCGCAGUACAUGUCGUUCCAGCAAGUGCGGCGCUGGAUAUUGGAGAUGUUCAACGUGGACGAGGUGAGCUUGUGCUGCGGCACAUCGUGCCUGUAAAGCCCAAGAACCAGGCGCGCGCUUACAACAUGGCGGUUGAUAUAGUAUGGCUUGAUUCCUGGAGGACAUUUCUUGAAGUGUCAUUGCGCCAAGGUGUCUCUUUGGUACUCUAUGUUCAGUGGCAGGCCAAGGCGGCGUCAGGUCCCGUUUGUGAAGGCGCUAUCGGCGAGAAGAACAGCGCCACACCUGCUCUGGCUCCAGCUCCGGCCCCGGCAACUGCCCCUGCGCCCACUCCUGCUCCUGCUCCUGCCCCUGCGCCUGCUCCCGCUCCCGCUCCCACCGCUAAAGAGCCCACCGUGGCCGGUGAACAAGGCGGAAGCUGGGACAGGGAGGACCCGGGCCGACGUCUCUACCGCUGCCCUCUGUUGGAGGUACCUUAUACUAGUUCCUUUUCCCAUGCCAUUAUUUGAAGAAAUUUAUAGAUUAGAGAAGUAGUCAAAUCUACAAAUGACCUCGAUUCAUUCCGCUUCCCAGGAUCCUGGGGGAUUGUGGAUUCACGCAGUGGCUGGACGAGGCCUUCCCUGAAAAGGCGACCAUGCACAUCAACAACCUCCUGAGUAGGGAGGAGUGCCUCGAGCAGCAGGUCGAGAACCUCCAGGAGGAGCUCAACGAGCUCCGUCGCCGGUACGUGACCGGCAGCAGCCAUCGUGACGGGCAAGACAGCGAGACACGCCCACGCCAAGUCCGCAGAAUGAUCUAGGACAACUGAUGGUGUACCCUGCUUCUCCCAGUUUGCAUGAAGUCCUCAAAUGUUACUAGUCAUGCUGUCCGUUUCUUGUUCGUUCAACCAUUUGUUCAGUCAUGUUGUUGCUAGAGCAUGUCGCUCUGAACAGUCUGAACCGUGUUCCAAUGUUAUGCCAUCUGUAAUGUAAAUUACUUGCAUCAACGCAUUUACCAUUUCAGAACAAUGUUGGACGUACUUCUUAUUUUGUCGCUACUUGUAUCGGUUCAAGUAUCAUGUCGAACAACCGUACUGAACCCCAAAUCUUGCACAAGUGACAAUCUGAAAGCUGCAAACGCGUUUGAAUCCAUAAAGGUCUGCAAACAGGCGAGAGUGAUCACUAUCCAUUACCACUCAAGAAUUUCUCAUGUUAUCCCCAUGUCACGGUAAAAAGAAUUUGAAUAUUACCAAUCAGUACAACAUUGUAAAAACUUGGAACACCUACAGCAUGAACAAGCGGAAAAGCACAAUAAGAAGCUAUCACUGAUUGACUAGCAGUAGAAGACUGCGCACAUGGAAAACGGAAUCCAAAACAAAUUGGAAUAGAAAUUGUUUCGCGUGUAGUAUAUAUGACCAACUCUUGUGCGAGGAGCACUGAAAAACUUACAAAAAAAAAAA
rnacentral:lncRNA from 1 species